rnacentral:rRNA from 1 species
UAGCCUUUAGAAAUGAAGAUUAAUACCCCAUGGUAUGUAUUAGUGGCAUCACUGAUACAUUAAAGGUUACGGCAAGAGAUGAGCAUGCGUCCUAUUAGCUAGUUGGUAUGGUAACGGCAUACCAAGGCGACGAUAGGUAGGGGCCCUGAGAGGGGGAUCCCCCACACUGGUACUGAGACACGGACCAGACUCCUACGGGAGGCAGCAGUGAGGAAUAUUGGACAAUGGGGGCAACCCUGAUCCAGCCAUGCCGCGUGCAGGAAGACUGCCCUAUGGGUUGUAAACUGCUUUUAUACAGGAAGAAACACUCCCACGUGUGGGAGCUUGACGGUACUGUAAGAAUAAGCAUCGGCUAACUCCGUGCCAGCAGCCGCGGUAAUACGGAGGAUCCAAGCGUUAUCCGGAAUCAUUGGGUUUAAAGGGUCCGUAGCGGGCUUAUAAGUCAGUGGUGAAAGUUUGCGGCUCAACCGUAAAAUUGCCAUUGAUACUGUAGGUCUUGAAUCAUUGUGAAGUGGUUAGAAUGUGUAGUGUAGCGGUGAAAUGCAUAGAUAUUACACAGAAUACCGAUUGCGAAGCAGAUCACUAACAAUUGAUUGACGCUCAGGGACGAAAGCGUGGGUAGCGAACAGGAUUAGAUACCCCGGUAGUCCACGCCGUAAACGAUGGUUACUAGCUGUUUGGACUUCGGUCUGAGUGGCUAAGCGAAAGUGAUAAGUAACCCACCUGGGGAGUACGUUCGCAAGAAUGAAACUCAAAGGAAUUGACGGGGGCCCGCACAAGCGUGGAGCAUGUGGUUUAAUUCGAUGAUACGCGAGGAACCUUACCAGGGCUUAAAUGUAGUCUGACAGCUUUAGAGAUAGAGUUUUCUUCGGACAGAUUA